rnacentral:rRNA from 1 species
GACGUGGGGGGCCAGCGUUGCUCGGAGUUACUGGGUGUAAAGGGUUCGUAGGCGGUGUAGCAAGUCGGGAGUGAAAUCUCUGGGCUUAACCCAGAGGCUGCUUUCAAAACUGCCGUGCUCGAGUGCGGGAGAGGCCAGUGGAAUUGCAGGUGUAGCGGUGAAAUGCGUAGAUAUCUGCAGGAACACCCGUGGCGAAGGCGGCUGGCUGGACCGCAACUGACGCUGAGGAACGAAAGCUAGGGGAGCAAACAGG